AUCUUUUUAGUAUAAUAGUAUAUUUGGCUUCCAACCAGAAGGUCUAGAACAUUCCUAGAAAAGAUA
rnacentral:tRNA from 1 species